AUUGGGCCUAAAGCAUCCGUAGCUGGCUAGGUCAGUCCCUUGUUAAAUCCACCGAAUUAAUCGUUGGAUCGCGGGGGGAUACUGCUUGGCUAGGGGACGAGAGAGGCAGACGGUAUUUUCGGGGUAGGGGUGAAAUCCUAUAAUCCCGGGAAGACCACCAGUGGCGAAGGCUGUCUGCUAGAACGCGCCCGACGGUGAGGGAUGAAGCUGGGGGAGCGAACCGGAUUAGAUACCCGGGUAGUCCCAGCUGUAAACGAUGCAGACUAGGUGUUUGGACGGCCACGUGCCGUUCUAGUGCCGCAGGGAAGCUGUUAAGUCUGCCGCCUGGGGAGUACGAUCGCAAGAUUGAAACUUAAAGGAAUUGGCGGGGGAGCACCACAAGGGGUGAAGCUUGCGGUUUAAUUGGAGUCAACGACCGGAAAUCUCACCGGGAGCGACAGCAGUAUGAAAGCCAGAUUGAAGGUCUUGCUAGACGAGCUGAGUGGAGGUGCAUGG
rnacentral:rRNA from 1 species